GACAGAGGUUGCAAACGUUGUUCGGAAUCACUGGGCAUAAAGCGCACGUAGGCGGUCUGUUAAGUCAGGUGUGAAAGCCCCCGGCUCAACCGGGGAACAGCAUCCGAUACUGGCAGACUCGAGGAUGGUAGGGGUGAGUGGAACUCCAGGUGGAGCGGUGAAAUGCGUAGAUAUCUGGAGGAACACCGGUGGCGAAAGCGGCUCACUGGACCAUUACUGACGCUGAGGUGCGAAAGCUAGGGUAGCAAACGGG
rnacentral:rRNA from 1 species